rnacentral:rRNA from 1 species
CCUACGGGAGGCAGCAGUAAGGAAUAUUGGACAAUGGGCGCAAGCCUGAUCCAGCCAUGCCGCGUGAAGGAUUAAGGUCCUCUGGAUUGUAAACUUCUUUUAUAGGGGACGAAAAAAGGGCAUUCUUGCUCACUUGACGGUACCCUAUGAAUAAGCACCGGCUAACUCCGUGCCAGCAGCCGCGGUAAUACGGAGGGUGCAAGCGUUAUCCGGAUUCACUGGGUUUAAAGGGUGCGUAGGCGGGCAGUUAAGUCAGUGGUGAAAUCUCCGAGCUCAACUCGGAAACUGCCAUUGAUACUAUCUGUCUUGAAUAUUGUGGAGGUAAGCGGAAUAUGUCAUGUAGCGGUGAAAUGCUUAGAUAUGACAUAGAACACCUAUUGCGAAGGCAGCUUACUACGCAUAUAUUGACGCUGAGGCACGAAAGCGUGGGGAUCAAACAGGAUUAGAUACCCUGGUAGUCCACGCCCUAAACGAUGGAUACUCGACAUACGCGAUACACUGUGUGUGUCUGAGCGAAAGCAUUAAGUAUCCCACCUGGAAGUACGUCCGCAAGGAUGAAACUUAAAGGAAAUUGACGG